rnacentral:rRNA from 1 species
CGUGCGAUGCGCUCUCCUCCACUCCUUUUUCUUCUAUCCCCAGAACACAUCUGUGCUAGUUCAUCUCUAUCUGCAUCCUCGCCGGCGCGGCACACAACUCCCAUCCCCCACUUCAAACCAUUUUAUUUCUUACCGAUGUGAGAGUCACCCUGGAUUUGUGGUGUGCCAGCCACGGCGGCGCCCGGCGUUGACUACUCCGAGCGGCCAGCACGGCCGCACAACUUUGCUUCCUCGCGCUGGAGUUAGUGCUGUGCUGCCACCGCCGGCGACGAGGCGGACAAGCUUUUUGGUGCUGCAAUCAGUUGCGCCCUUCGACGGCGGAGUUUCAUCCGUGCGCGCCGAAGCUGGAAACGGCGUUUUUGGGAGCUGCAAGCAGUGCAGGUCAGCGGCCGCGACGAGCCAGAGGGUGGCGACGUGAUGGGCGGCGAGCUCGCACGGCUUGGCAGACGACGAUGGCCAUCGUUUUUUACCGGGAGGACGCGGCACCAGCGGGGACGCGACCUGUGCCGGGGAUAGAACGAGCGUUGACCAGAUCUGACGGUUGAGGGAAGAUUAAUUCGACGGCUCGCGCUUGACCGGCCGAACUAUUGGGCCGGUGCGCCGGCGCCUAUCAGUCCCCUACACGCAAUGCCAAACGCAGCCUAACAUUUAACAUAAGAAGUUAACCAAAAAAGGGAACAACAAAAUACUUGAAAUUUUUAUAGAACCUAUCACUCAACUUUCAGGUGCUUGUGAAUUAUGCAUGGUCUCCAAAAGAGGCUGAAGAAGCCUCCGGGGAAGUAAGCAAACUUACUGGCACUGGUUUCCCGUGGAGAUAAUUUGGAUCAUCAUUUAUUUUGGGGUACAGUAUGACCUCUGUACUAUACUUGUAAUACAAAAAUAACACCAAAGAAACAUGAAAUAGUCCGG